rnacentral:lncRNA from 1 species
UCGAAUCAACUUAGAUGGUCAAAGGAAACUCUCUCGUCACACUAGCCCUGAAUCACCCCAACAAACCUGCCGAAAGAAAAACACAGCAUGAGCCAAUUGCCCAGUACGGAUACAGAUAUACAAAAGAUAUACAACUGAUAUACGAAAUCAACUGAGACAAAAUACUGAACAAAGCAUCAAGUAUAAAUACUAACGAAAACAUAAUCUCCAACGAUCUGAAUGGAAUAUAUCUGAAUCAACAGAAUUAACGAAACUAAUAGAAGACUAAAGAACUAACGAACUGAAAUAACUAACUCAAUGAAUUGAACUGAAUAGAAACAAACAAAACUAAUACAAAGAAAUAAUAGGCUGAAUCAAAUGGUUGGGUGUUAUUUCAUACUGAAUGAGCUCAUAAAUAUACAUUGCCACACAGGCAAGUCAAAAUAAUGCCACACAAGCAAAUCAAAUGAUGCCACACAAGCAAUGACACACAUGCAAUCAAAAUAAUGCCACACAGGCACUCACACUUUAAAUCGCGAAUCCAAAUGUAUGCAAAUCGGAUAGGUGUGUUUGGAAAAACAUCACCAAUCCGUAGAACAAAAAACUAGGGUUAACCCAUACACCUCCCACAACAAAACACCAAAUGGCCCACUUCUUCCUGAGCCCAAACGGAGACGUCGUGAACUAAUCACACCGCCACAGAAAGUGUCAUGUCUCUCGUGCUAAGAUGACAUGUCUGUGGUACCCCCACAGGUGGUUAUAGCUCAGGUAUACCUUACGGUGUAUUCUAACAAAAAUAUCAUGUCACAACACAUGCGACAUAAUACCAACAAAAGGGUUCUAUAUGUACAUGUUGAACCAAAUCAAAUUAUAGUCACAAGGUCUCAAAAAGAAGGUAGCAACAUGUACCGCUCUACAAUUAUCAAAAAUAAAUAGUACUAAACAUGAUAACCUAAUUCAAAGAGUACAAAUACGAGUCAUAUGUAUCAAAUCCAAAAUGAAACUAAUAUAUUUAUUUCACAGGAAACAAUUAUGUAAAAUAAUAAUGAAAUUCGAACAAGCGACAAAAUGAACAAAACAAAUUUAACAAGAGUAUCGCUGAAAGAGUACGGAGUCCGUACCUGGAGUAAGCAAUGUAAUACAUAGAAAUUAUUAUCCCAACAUAAUUCGUUAAACUCCUUUCGUCCGAACUAAUUAAAAAGAAAAAUAAAUAAAUAAAUAAUUUAUCAGUUAUAUAAAAAGUGUUAAAUUUUAAAACCAACAAUAUGCUUUCACUUUUAUAAUUAUUUUAACUUUCACGUUUAAUUUGUAAAUAUGUACAUUUCUAAUGUGUAUCUAUAAUUAAUAAAAUAAUGUUCUUAGCAUGAUCUUAGUUACUGACUUAAAUAACUUAUCCAAAUUACACGAAGGUAUAAAACUAAUUUAUUGUACUAUAUAUGUCUUCCUCUAAAUUAACAUAACUAUAAUUCUUAUGUCCAGAUUAUACUGCAUGAAGAAUAUAGAGUUUUUUUUUUAUAACUAUAGUCACAAUAUCUAUUAGAACAAAAGCCAUAAUGUAUUGUGCCUUUACUGAAGCAUGAGAUAGCCCACGAAAUAUAUAAUAUAAUAAUUAUUAGAUUUCAUAUGGAUGCAAAAUACCUUCCUACAGAAAGUAUUAGGAAUCUAACUUUUUAUAAUAUUAUUAAACAUACAACACCCUAACCAUCUAACUUUUAAAGUAUAACCAAAUUAAUCUUUAUUUGAAUACAAAAAGUUAGCAUACUAUGUAAUUCAAUGAUCUAAUUCAUACCUUUGUCUCAUCUGCUUUUGUUGUCGCCGCUUCUUUCUUUCUCUUUCUCUCGGUUUGUAUAGAUAUAAUGAAGUAAUUAGGUUUAGCUAUUUAUUAAUUAGGUUGCCUCAAUAAACUUCUAAUUGGGUUAACUUAAUAUUAAGGCCCAAAUUUUAACCACAUAAUAUUAUCUAUCACUUAUUAAUAUCUAUUAGCCCACACAAUUUAAAUGACUACUUUGACCCAAUUUAAAGCCAAAAAUUCAAACAAUAUAUUUAAAAUACAAACAUAAAUACUUCUUCUUUUUUUCGGAUAUUACAUUACCUCACCCUUAAAAAGGAUUCCGUCCUCAGAAUCAAAAGAAUGAGACGUACCUAAUUUUCAAAGAGAGGCGGACACUCCGCUCAAAUAGACUCCCCCCAUCUCAAGUAGCUUCGCGCUCCAUAUGAUUUUGCUACAAAACUUUAACAAAUGAGAUUGUCUUCCUCCUCAUAACCCGCUCUUGCCAAUCUAAAAUUGCCUCAAGCUUCUUCCUUCUUCCAAAUUGUAAAGGACGAAAAAAAAUUAAAGAAACGCGCUUUGGAUUCACUCAAUUCCAACAUCGGAUGAAUUAAUUAUGAUUUUUUUUUCUAAAUGGUUGCAGAGCGUAUAAGUAUUUUAUUCGAGAAUUCAACUAAUCAAAUUAAAAUAGGAUUAGACUUACAUCUUCACUCUUUAAAUAUACAAGGGGAAAAAAUAUAGGAGCUAUCAAACCCAUAAUGGACUCCUUUAUUUUGAUUAAAUCAAUUAUUUAAUUAUCUAUUAAAAGAAUAUAACUUCCAAACGAAAUAAAAACUUACCUUUUCCAAUUCAAUCAUACUUUUAUAAAAUAAAAGUCAACUAAUAUUUAAUUAUAAAUAUAAAAAAAAGGUUAUUACAUUCUUCCCCCCUUAAAAAUAAUUUCGUCCUCAGAAUUCAAAUAAGCUACAAAAAAAUAAUUUUUAUUUAAAUUGAUUAAUUAGUACUCAUGAACUUUAGUUAAGACGUAACAUCAACCUUUGUAACGAUCAAGCCUGGUAUGUCCAUCGGUAAACACAAUUAUCCAUGUACUCGUAAAAGAUUCGUCAGUUGUCGUGUCAAGCCUUAGUAAGAUUCUACGCGUUGCAUCAAAUUAAAUCACAUGAUCCACCGUUGGUGCAACCCCCGUCAAUUUCUGUAAGUUUCAUUCUUGCAAACAUACUCUUCAAAACAUAAUUCGAAAACACAUAAUUUUCUCUUCAUCUAAAUACGAUUUGAAUACCUGAAAUAUUUAAAAUUAUCUUUAAUUCGUAGAAUGUUUAUGUUCCACACAUGACAAAGAUCUAACAAAUUAUUAUACUUUUUUUACAUAAAAUCAUACAAAACUCCAAGGAUAUCGGAUAAACCAAACAACUCUACACAUUAUAUCAACUUUUCCUAAAUUCUCAAGAGCUUCAAAAUAUUCAAACCUCAAUUCGAACUAGCUAGUUCUUAAAUAUUAUUACACCAAAGAAUAUACUACUAAGAUCUCUUUAUCACAAUAUCAACCUCCAAGUCACAUAUUCUACAAUCUGAAUAAGCAAACUACAAAUAUUUAAGAUCUCUCAAAAUCAAUUGAUUUUCAUCAGUUACUAUCUAAUCAUAUAACAAAUCAAUCAUCCCUUAUUGCAAACCGUAAUCUAAUAAAUUUCAAUGUCUCCCCAUACUAUCACAAAGAAACCUCAUAGGACAUAACUCCAACAUCCUACUAGAAAAUAGCCACAAAAUUGAUCAUUAACUCCAAAUGAUUAAUCUAAUUACCUUAAAUAUCAAUAACUCAAAUUACAAGAAAUCAUCUAUACUUAAUAAUUUUCAUUUUAUCAUAGUAUGUCAUCAAUACACGAACCUCAAAUUAUCCACAAGCUUAACAUAAAUCAAAACCUAACUCAAAUCAAAUCCUCAAUUCAACGAUCAUAAUAAUUAUCACAAAAAAAAACAACUCUAACAAAUAAUGUUUCAAAAUCAAAUACUCACAUCAUAGUCGCAUCCCAUAUAAGAUCAUUUCCUUCUCUGUACAAAGUAUAAUUUUAUUCACCUCAAUGAUUAAAUCACAAAUCCUAACUAAUAUCAUUACUUAAUCAACUUAACAAAGUAUUCCACUUUCCCCAAAUCAACUACAAAUCGAAAAGAAAUUGAUAGUUGGUCAAAAUAGAGACCAACUAAACAAAGAACAAAAUCAAAUCAAACUCCUACGUCUACCCAAUGGUUUACCCACAACCACAGGUCAAACCUAAAUAGGUUUUCUACAAGAAAGAACCUAAGCUCUGAUACCAUAUCUGUAACACCGCCUUCCCGAAAAGGAAAGGGAGGUCACGUGUAAAGCACAACAAACCUCAAAAUAAGUAAACAGAGCACUAAUAACUUCAAAAUAUUAAUAGUGGUGAUCCAUUAAUAAAGUACUAAAUACAAUUCUCCAAAUAGAGUCAAAAUAAUCAAAACUUAAAAUCGAAUCAACUUAGAUGGUCAAAGGCAACUCUCUCGUCACACUAGCCCUGAAUCACCCCAACAAACCUGCCGAAAGAAAAACACAGCAUGAGCCAAUUGCCCAGUACGGAUACAAAUAUACAAAAGAUAUACAACUGAUAUACGAAAUCAACUGAGAAAAAAUACUGAACAAAGCAUCAAGUAUAAAUACUAACGAAAACAUAAUCUCCAACGAUCUGAAUGGAAUAUAUCUGAAUCAACAGAAUUAACGAAACUAAUAGAAGACUAAAGAACUAACGAACUGAAAUAACUAACUCAAUGAAUUGAACUGAAUAGAAACAAACAAAACUAAUACAAAGAAAUAAUAGGCUGAAUCAAAUGGUUGGGUGUUAUUUCAUACCGAAUGAGCUCAAAAAUAUAAAUUGCCACACAGGCAAGUUAAAAUAAUGUCACAUAGGCAAAUCAAAUGAUGCCACAUAAGUAAUCAAAAUAAUGCCACACAUGUACUCACACUUUGGACCGCAAAUCCAAAAGUAUGCAAAUCGGAUAGGUGUGUUUGUCACAACAUCACUAAUCUGCAGAACAGAAAACUAGGGUUAACCAAUACGCCUCCCACAACAAAACACCAAAUGGCCCACUUCCUUCGGAGCCCAAACGGAGACGCCGUGGACUAAUCACAUCACCAAGGAAAGUGUCAUGUCUCUCGUGCCAAGACGACAUGCAUGUGGUACCCCCACAUGUGGUUAUAGCUCAGGUAUACCUUACGAUAUAUUCUAACAAAAAUAUCAUGUCACAACACAUGCAACAUAAUACCAACAAAAGGGUUCUAUAUGUACAUGUUGAACCAAAUCAAAUUAUAGUCACAAGGUCUCAAAAAGAAGGUAGCAACAUGUACCGCUCUACAAUUAUCAAAAAUAAAUAGUAUUAAACAUGAUAACCUAAUUCAAAGAGUACAAAUACGAGUCAUAUGUAUCAACUCCAAAAUGAAACUAAAAUAUUUAUUUCACAAGAAACAAUUAUGUGAAAUAAUAAUGAAAUUCGAACAAGCGACAAAACGAACAAAUCAAAUGUAACAAGAGUAUCGCUGAAAGUAUAAGGAAUCCGUACCUGGAGUAAGCAAUGUAAUACACAGAAAUUAUUAUCCCAACAUAGUUCGUUAAACUCCUCCGUCCAAACUAAUUAAAAAGAAAAAUUAAUAAAUAAAUAAUUUAUCAAUUAUAUAAAAACUGUUAAAUUUUAAAACCAACAAUAUUCUUUCACUUUUAUAAUAAUUUAACUAUCACGUUUAAUUUGUAAAUAUGUACAUUUCUAAUGUGUAUCUAUAAUUAAUAAAAUAAUGUUAUUAGCAUGAUAUUAGUUACUUACUUGAAUAACUUAUCCAAAUUACACGAAGGUAUAAAACUAAUUUAUUGUACUAUAUAUGUCUUCCUCUAAAUUAACAUAACUAUAAUUCUUAUGUCCAGAUUAUACUGCAUGAAGAAUAUAAAAAAAAAUUAUAACUAUAGUCACAAUCUCUAUUAGAACAAAAGCCAUAAUGUAUUGUGCCUUUACUGAAGCAUGAGAUAGCCCACGAAAUAUAUUUAUAAUAAUUAUUAGUUUUCAUAUGGAUGCAAAAUACCUUCCUGCAGAAAGUAUUAGGAAUCUAACUUUUUAUAAUAUUAUUAAACAUACAACACCCUAACCAUCUAACUUUUAAAUUAUAACCAAAAUAAUCUUUAUUUAAAUACAAAAAGUUAGCAUACUAUGUAAUUCAAUGAUCUAAUUCAUACCUUUGUCUCAUCUGUUUUUGUUGACGUCGCUUCUCUCUUUCUCUUUCUCUCUGUUUGUAUAGAUAUAAUGAAGUAAUUAGGUUUAGCUAUUUCUUAAUUAGGUUGCCUCAAUAAACUUCUAAUUGGGUUAAAUUAAUAUUAAGUCCCAAAUUUUAACCACAUAAUAUUAUCGAUCACUUAGUAAUAUCUAUUAGCCCACACAAUUUAAAUGACUACUUUGACCUAAUUUAAAGCCAAAAAUUCAAACAAUAUAUUUAAAAUACAAACAUAAAUAAUUUUAUUUUUUUCGGGUAUUACAAUAUAAUUUUUGCAAAAGAAAAUUAGAUUGCUUCCGUGCAUCCACCACAGCCAAUGUGGUCCUAUCAAUUUCAUUAUCAUCUACCACAAGGGCAUCCUCAUUUAAAAUCCUUUUAAAGAUUCAAUGUAGUAAGAUAAAACAACAUGUUCUGUUGCCAUCUUUUAAAAUCAAUCCCACUGAAUUUUUCAGGUUUUUCACCAUGACUAACAUGGGUAGGAACAUUCAUAGGAACAUUGGUUGUAAUAGAGUUAGGCACAAUUGAAUUAGAUAAUUUUAUAAUUCUGUUAAAUACACAAUUUACAGAAUCACUUUAAUAAAAUAGAAACAAUCGAAUGAGAAAAACAAAAACUAAAUUUGUAAUUACAAUAAAGUAAAUCUGUUUUAAAUAUUAUUAAUGUUAUUUUUAUUUUAUUUUUAUAAAUCUGAAAAAAAAAAUUCUGUAAUGAAACUAAACAGAACUAUAAUAUUCUGUUUUAUAUAUAUUAAUAUAGAAUAAGAACUAAGAAAGUUCUGUUAAAAGAACUAUAAUAUUCUAUUUUAUAUAAUAAUAUAGUACAAGUACUACGGAAUUAAUAUAGAUAUAUUAAUAUAGAAUAAGUACUACGAUAGUUCUAUUUUAUAAAUUAGUAUAGACGGAGUACUCAGAAAUAACACAGAAAAUCUGCUUUAAGAUUGUUAUUCCUUUGUAUUAUAUACUAAUUAAAUAAACAGAAGUAGAAGAUAAACAAUUUUAUAAUAAUGACUUACUAGAUGCAAUUGACAAACUUUUAAAACAAAGUCAACUGUCGGGCAGUCUCUCCUUAAAGCAGAUUUCGUCCCCGCUAUCGGUGCUUACAGAUGGAAUAUUAGAUGUCUACUUCCCAGGAUAAAAUGAUCUUCAAUUCUCACAAGAAGUACUUCAAUGGAAGAGUUCCAUGAACUAACAAAAAUUUGAAUACUAUCUAUGACUUUUAAUGAAUGAAGAAUGAAUUUAGUUUUAAGAACUUGAGAAGGAUUGAAGUUAAAGUGAUUGAUUUGGGUAGAUUUGGAACCUAUUUAUAGGUUUCCAAACACCCCUAUGAAGAUAUACAUCCAUUUGAAAAGGUUACAUCCCUUUAAAAAGAUACAUCCCUUUAAAAAAGUAAAUCACUUUGAAAAGGUACAUCCUUUUGAAAAGGUUACAUCCCUUUAAAAAAAUACCUUUUCAAUUUAAAAAGAUAUGAACCAAAGGUCACACCCAGUGUUUUAUUUUUAAAAAAUAUUCUCAUUCAUUAAUAUAUAUAUAUAUAUAUAUAUAUAGGGAUUCCAUCCACAGUAACCGGUUGUUGGGGAGCAACCCAUUUUGGCCAGCCGCUACUACCUGUACCGGCCUUAGACAAUUUUUUUUAUAUAUAUAAGCCGAUACAGGUAGUAGCGGCUGGCCAAAAUGGGUUGUUCCCCAAAAUGGGUUAUAUAAAUGAAAUUUAUUUUUCUCUAUUUAUUAUUUUGAAAUAGUAAGGGUUGAUUUGAUUAAUGUGGAUAGUUAUGGGUAAAAUACGCAAAUAUUUCGAAUAAGCAAGUGGUUAUAAAAUAUUCAUUAUUNNNNNNNNNNNNNNNNNNNNNNNNNNNNNNNNNNNNNNNNNNNNNNNNNNNNNNNNNNNNNNNNNNNNNNNNNNNNNNNNNNNNNNNNNNNNNNNNNNNNNNNNNNNNNNNNNNNNNNNNNNNNNNNNNNCGGUUGUUGUGGAUGGAAUCCCAUAUAUAUAUAUAUAUAUAUAUAUAUAUAUAUAUAUAUAUAUAUAUAUAUAUAUCAAUAAGAACAAAGCCCAUCUUGUAGCAUAUCCACCUUACCCAUGAACCAAUACAUCAGCCUAUAAAAAAUGAUGGAAAAAUACCAAAUUUUAAUACAUGAGUGUUUUUUUGGAAAAAAAACAUAAAGAAAGAAAAAAAAAUAGAAGAAGGAACCUUGCGGGAGUAUGUAUCAGCAAGAGCAGCACCCUAUCCGCCAAAAAAUAUGAAGGAUUGCUCCGUAAUCGAAUCCACUAAUAAUACUAUUUGAGGCCUCAUUCUUUCUCCUAAGUUAAACCGACCUACUAGUUAUGAAGACCAAACCUAUGAGAUCGAAACACCGCAACAUUCAUUUAAAAAUUAACAGAUCUAACUGGAAAUAAGCAGAUCUAACAGGAGCAAGCAACGGAGAUGGGGACGGCGUCGUCGAGGCGAAGGCGUGGGGCUUGAUCUCUUAAAGGACUUGGCAUGGAUCCGAUUAAUAAGUAGAUCUAACCUGUUGUGCUCUGCCCGGAGUUUCUUCAUGCUGAUUUGAUGCGACCUUGGAGGAGAGGAGGAGAGGAGGAGAGGAGGAGGAAGACAAAGGAGAGACAAUUAAUGAAACCUAAAC